rnacentral:misc_RNA from 1 species
CUCAUCCCUCUCGUCCGCAACCUUGCAUCAACAACUACACUCUCCGAAAAUAAAUAGACAUAAUAUAAGCUGACAAGAGCUAAAAGAUGAAAAAAUCUGAUCUGAUGAAAAGAAAUCUCAUGACCCUAUAAUUAAGUACUCCAUAAUAAUAAUAUAUAUAUAUAUAUAUAUUAGUCCCAAGCUCCCAGUCCCCGUGACUCCUGGAAGCUGCAAGUUCCAUCAAGAAGGCAAAGACUAUCCAGCACACAUAAGUAUAACUAUACUAUACAUAUUAGGUGCCUAAUAACUUUUGAUGCGAGAGUUGCGUUGCGAGUCUCUCGAGAGCAGACAGUGCAGCGCGGCGCUGCUCCUUAUCUCUUUCAUUUUCAUCAUCUUUCUGCUUCUUCGUCUUCGUUUCCAUCGUCGUGCGUCGUGCGCGUGUUCAUUUCAUUGUAUAUUUAUCAGUUGCGAAGAAGGAUUGCAGGCGGCCUCUCUUAUCCAACCUCAUGGUUUGUUGAAACUUGAAAGCUUUAUACAAUCAGUUCUCGAAGAGAGACACGCAAAGUGCUAACAAUUGUAAGUAUAUACCUAUACUUACAUGUGAAAAGCGCACAAGGAACAGUGAGAUAAACAACCAUUUUCGGAGCAGAGCACAUCCAAAGGACAAGACAUUGUGUUUUUAUUAAAAUAUUAUAUAGCAGCUAGAGCAGAAGGUCCGGGAGUAUAUAGAACUCAGCUGGGGGUCGACCGACAGCAUCAUUAUAUUUCUCGUAUUCCAAAUCACAUCAUGUACACGGUCUCCAAGGGCCCGAGCAAGAUCGUCGCCAAGACACGACGAGGAAUAAACCAGAAUCUUGAAAGAUUAGAAAACUUGAGAGACUUAACACGUAAAAGUGAUCCUGAAGAAGAUAUUUCUGAAGAGGAUAAGGCCAACAUGAAUGUACCAAAACCAGUUUUUUAUACAAAUGGAAAACUAAAACCAAAUUCACAAAGGCACAGACAAAGACAAGAAGCCAUUACACCUCAACACGAGGAACUAAUUAGAUUUGUUUGCGAUUCUUGGAAUCAAAUAAAUGACCGACAAAAGUGCUCAUCUUCAGAUGAUUCUGAUGAAUCAUCCUCCAAUGAAACAAUAGUUUAUUACAAUAGUGGAGAACCAAACCAUUUAUUACAAGAUUUCAAACCAUUUGAUCUAGAAUCUUGGUGGGGUAAGAGAUUGUUCAACAAUAUCACAAAAUCCUUGUGAAUAUUCAAGCUCUGGAAAAUGGUAUCCCCUAUCAGAGAAGCUGUGCUCGAUCCACACAUGACGUGCAUUUUUUUCGAACGCGCUCGCGCCAUAACUGUCGUACAGAACUCGCAGAGCCGUGUCGAUGAGAGAAGACAUAAAAAAAAGAAAGAAAUAGUAAAUAAUCUCUCACGCCUGAUAAAUACGUCAGUCGUGAAGGUUGCUACGAGCAAUCGAGUAGACAACAAUAGAAGCAAUGCAUCAACGAAAAGUCGGGAAAAAAAUAGUGUGCUGUGCGCGCGUGUCAAGUCUAGACAAACUUAAACGCGGAAAAACAUGGAAAUAGCAUAUGUAACUGUUGGGAACGAAGAUAUUGUGCUUCAAGGGCUGCAUAUAUAUGACCAAAACACGUAUGCCAAAUGCUUUCAUACCAACCAAGAGAUGGCACAGCAACCGAAUUUCUUCGAUUUUAAG